rnacentral:rRNA from 1 species
GCCUUACUAUAUAUUUGUAAGGUGAAACCUGCUCAAUGAUUGCCAAUAAUGAGUAAAAACAAUUAAAUAGCCGCGGUAACUCUGACCGUGAUAAAGUAGCAUAAUCACUCGUCAUUUAAUUGGUGACUGGAAUGAAUGGUCAAACGAAUCUUUAACUGUCUCAGAAAGAAAUUGAUCUAAUUUGAAAAAACAGUGAAGAUGCUGUUAGAUGAUUAUAAGACGAAAAGACCCUAUCGAGCUUUACUAAAAGCUUAUAACUACCGUACAUAAAAAUAUUCUGAAAUAAUAUAAAUUGUAAGCUUGUUAGUUUGGUUGGGGCGACCACCUCUAAAAAAGUAUCAGAGGAAUUCUAAAGGUUUAAUAAUAAUAUAUAAUGCCUUACUGAAUACAAACUAGUUAACCAGUUACUUAUUAGUAGGAUAUAAUGACCCGUUAAACUAAUUCUAAAAUUUAACGACCAUGAAAAAAGUUACCGUAGGGAUAACAGGGUAAUAUUUUCGAAGAGUUCAUAUCGAUGAAAAUGUUUGCCACCUCGAUGUUGAAUUGUGAUAUCCUAAAGGUGUAGCAGCUUUUAAGGGUUG